AUGCACGCUGGCGGCGUGCCUCAUCCAUGCAAGUCGAGCGAACAGACGAGGAGCUUGCUCCUCUGACGUUAGCGGCGGACGGGUGAGUAACACGUGGAUAACCUACCUAUAAGACUGGGAUAACUUCGGGAAACCGGAGCUAAUACCGGAUAAUAUAUUGAACCGCAUGGUUCAAUAGUGAAAGACGGUUUUGCUGUCACUUAUAGAUGGAUCCGCGCCGCAUUAGCUAGUUGGUAAGGUAACGGCUUACCAAGGCAGCGAUGCGUAGCCGACCUGAGAGGGUGAUCGGCCACACUGGAACUGAGACACGGUCCAGACUCCUACGGGAGGCAGCAGUAGGGAAUCUUCCGCAAUGGGCGAAAGCCUGACGGAGCAACGCCGCGUGAGUGAUGAAGGUCUUCGGAUCGUAAAACUCUGUUAUUAGGGAAGAACAAAUGUGUAAGUAACUAUGCACGUCUUGACGGUACCUAAUCAGAAAGCCACGGCUAACUACGUG
rnacentral:rRNA from 1 species